UACGUAGGGGGCGAGCGUUGUCCGGAUUUAUUGGGCGUAAAGAGCUCGUAGGCGGUUCGGUAAGUCGAAUGUGAAAUCUCCACGCUCAACAUGGAGGGGUCAUUCGAAACUGCCGUGACUUGAGUACGGUAGGGGAGUGUGGAAUUCCCGGUGUAGCGGUGAAAUGCGCAGAGAUCGGGAGGAACACCCGUAGCGAAGGCGGCACUCUGGGCCGAUACUGACGCUGAGGAGCGAAAGCGUGGGGAGCGAACAGG
rnacentral:rRNA from 1 species